rnacentral:rRNA from 1 species
AACGAACGCUGGCGGCAUGCCUAACACAUGCAAGUCGAACGGGAUCCUAGCUUGCUAGGUGAGAGUGGCGGACGGGUGAGUAACACGUGGGAAUCUGCCUUUUGGUUCGGGAUAACCGCGGGAAACUGCGGCUAAUACCGAAUGCCCUCGAGAGAGGAAAGAUUUAUCGCCAGAAGAGGAGCCCGCGUCCGAUUAGGUAGUUGGUGGGGUAAAGGCCUACCAAGCCGACGAUCGGUAGCUGGUCUGAGAGGAUGAUCAGCCACACUGGGACUGAGAUACGGCCCAGACUCCUACGGGAGGCAGCAGUGGGAAUAUUGGACAAUGGGGGCGAACCCUACGAUCCAGCAAUGCCGCCGUGAGUGAUGAAGG